rnacentral:rRNA from 1 species
CCUACGGGAGGCAGCAGUGAGGAAUAUUGGACAAUGGGCGGAAGCCUGAACCAGCCAAGUCGCGUGCAGGAUGACGGCCCUACGGGUUGUAAACUGCUUUUAUACGGGAAUAACGCGCCUUACGUGUAGGGCUUUGCAUGUACCGUAUGAAUACAGACGGGCUAAUUCCGUGCAAGCGGCCGCGGUAAUACGGAAGGUCCGGGCGUUAUCCGGAUUUAUUGGGUUUAAAGGGAGCGUAGGCCGUAUGGCAAGCGUGCUGUGAAAUGUCCGGGCGCAACCCGGGCCUUGCAGCGCGAACUGGCGUGCUGGAGUCCGCGGAAGGCAGGUGGAAUUCGUCGUGUAGCGGUGAAAUGCUUAGAUAUGACGAAGAACCCCGAUUGCGAAGGCAGCUUGCUGCAGCGGAACUGACGCUGAUGCUCGAAAGCGCGGGUAUCGAACAGGAUUAGAUACCCGUGUAGUC